UCGACCGAAGCAUCGAUUCAAUUUCAACUAUUUCAUUUCAAAAAGCAGGGCGCGGACAGAAACAAGCACCACCCAUCACUCACAUCACACCCGCUCGAUGUGCCCGGCAUUACUUCAUUAAACAGAUCCAUGAGUUCUAAAGACACUUGCAGAAACGAGCUCCGCACUGCCAUUCGUCAACUCAGUGACCGAUGCCUUUACUCCGCCUCCAAAUGGGCAGCAGAACAAUUAGUUGGAAUCGAACAAGAUCCGGCCAAGUAUACACCCUCGAACACCAGAUUCCAACGUGGAAGCUCAAGCAUUCGCCGAAGGUUCCGCACAAAUGAGAUUACUUCAACGCCGGCUGCCGGUGUUUCUUACGUCUCCACUCCGGUAAUGGAGGAAGAUGAAGUGGUGGAUGGUGAUUUUUAUCUUUUGGCAAAGUCAUACUUUGAUUGUAGAGAGUACAGGAGGGCUGCUCACGUGCUUCGUGAUCAAAAUGGAAAGAAAUCGGUGUUUCUGCGCUGUUAUGCUCUUUAUCUGGCUGGAGAAAAGCGGAAGGAGGAAGAAACAAUAGAACUUGAAGGGCCAUUGGGCAAGAGUGAUGCUGUGAAUCGUGAACUUGUUUCCCUUGAGAGAGAGUUAUCUACAUUUCGCAAGAAUGGAAUGUUUGAUCCCUUUGGUUUGUAUUUAUAUGGUAUGGUGCUAAAAGAUAAAGGCAGUGACUAUCUUGCUCGUACAGUUUUAGUGGAGUCUGUUAAUAGCUACCCUUGGAACUGGAGUGCCUGGUUGGAGCUGCAGUCAUUGUGCACUACAGUUGACAUCUUGAACAGCCUUAAUCUAAAUAACCAUUGGAUGAAGGACUUUUUCCUUGCCAGUGCUUAUCAAGAACUUAGGAUGCACAACGAAUCCUUAACUAAAUAUGAAUAUCUACAGGGCACUUUCAGUUUCAGCAAUUACAUACAGGCUCAAAUUGCAAAAGCACAGUACAGUUUGAGAGAAUUUGAACAAGUUGAAGUGAUAUUUGAAGAGCUUUUAAGGAAUGACCCCUAUAGAGUGGAAGACAUGGAUAUGUACUCUAAUGUGCUAUAUGCAAAGGAGUGCUUCUCUGCUUUAAGUUAUCUUGCCCACAGAGUAUUUAUGACUGAUAAAUACAGACCUGAAUCUUGUUGCAUAAUUGGGAAUUACUACAGUUUAAAGGGGCAGCAUGAGAAAUCAGUUGUGUAUUUUAGGAGGGCACUUAAAUUGAACAAAAACUUUUUGUCAGCUUGGACACUAAUGGGCCAUGAAUAUGUUGAGAUGAAAAACACUCCAGCUGCUGUUGAUGCCUAUAGACGAGCUGUAGAUAUAAAUCCAUGUGAUUAUCGAGCCUGGUAUGGGUUAGGACAAGCUUAUGAGAUGAUGCAUAUGCCUUUCUAUGCUCUUCAUUAUUUUCGAAAAUCUGUAUUCUUGCAGCCAAGCGAUUCUCGGUUGUGGAUUGCCAUGGCUCAGUGUUAUGAAACUGAACAGCUUCACAUGCUUGAAGAGGCAAUAAAAUGCUAUAGAAGAGCUGCAAAUUGUAAUGACAGUGAAGCAAUUGCCCUGAACCAGCUUGCAAAGCUGCAUCAUGAACUUGGGCGUGAUGAGGAAGCAGCAUUCUACUACAAGAAGGAUUUGGAUAGGAUGGAAGCUGAAGAGAGGGAAGGACCAAAUAUUGUUGAAGCUUUGUUAUUUCUUGCGACUCACUGCGGAGCCCAUAACAGAUUUGAAGAAGCAGAGGUGUAUUGUACCCGUCUUCUGGAUUUUACUGGCCCGGAGAAAGAAACUGCUAAGAGUAUGCUUCGGGGAAUGAGAACGGCACAAUCAAGUUUUCCUCCCAUGGAUGUUGAGCGCUUUCCUCCAUGAUUUUUUGGGUCUCACUCGUAGAAGUUAAAAAUCCUCUGAAGCAGCAGUCACUUGUUUCGUUUUCAACACUUGAGAUAUGUCUAGUUAUAGUGACAAGCAUAUAUUGGCGUUCUGUGCUGCGGAAACCAUUGGUGUGUUAUUUUUAUAUGUAUUUGUUUGUCUUUUUAGGAAGGAUAGACAGAUAUUACAGCAGGAAAUUCCAGCCUGAGUAUGUUGCAGUAAUUUAUAGUUACAAGUAUGUAGCAGUAAGGCACGUAUAUUUCUCAACCAUUGGUGUUGUACUGUGACAUUACAACUGAAAGAUGUGGCUGGAACCCUGUUUCCAUCUAUUCACAUCUCACCUGUUUUGGGAUUCUCAACCCCGGGAGGUAUCAACAAACCUACCUCUCACAGAAUUAAACAUUUCAACAGUUAAAGACACAGUGAUGUUUUUCAGGUUAGUAAUGUAUGGCUUCUUCUGUUCAUGUGCUCAAUGCUCAUGGUGAGUUCCGAUCGCUUUUCUGCUGAU